AGAAAGAGGAGAAGGUGGAGGAGGAGGAAGAGGAGGAGGAUGAAAUACAGGUGCUGGAAUGUCAUCAUCAUGCGAUGAUACAUAUGUCGUCCACCUUCACCUUUACCUCUUUAAACCCCCCCCCCCUCCUCCCACUCCUCUCCCUCUCCCCUCCAUUU